rnacentral:tRNA from 1 species
GUCACGAUAGCUCAAGUGGUCGAGUAGCGGCAUAACAAGCCGAAGGUCGUGGGUUCGAAUCCCGCUCGUGACA